CGGCGUGCCUAAUACAUGCAAGUCGAACGGACAAGUAAGAGCUUGCUCUUAUGAGUUAGUGGCGCACGGGUGAGUAAUGUAUAGUUAAUCUGCCCCUUAGUGGAGGACAACAGUUAGAAAUGACUGCUAAUACUCCAUACUCCUUCUUAACACAAGUUAAGUCGGGAAAGUUUUUCGCUAAGGGAUGAGACUAUAUUGUAUCAGCUAGUUGGUAAGGUAAUGGCUUACCAAGGCUAUGACGCACAACUGGUCUGAGAGGAUGAUCAGUCACACUGGAACUGAGACACGGUCCAGACUCCUACGGGAGGCAGCAGUAGGGAAUAUUGCUCAAUGGGGGAAACCCUGAAGCAGCAACGCCGCGUGGAGGAUGACACUUUUCGGAGCGUAAACUCCUUUUGUUAGGGAAGAACACUGACGGUACCUAACGAAUAAGCACCGGCUAACUCCGUGCCAGCAGCCGCGGUAAUACGGAGGGUGCAAGCGUUACUCGGAAUCACUGGGCGUAAAGGACGCGUAGGCGGAUUAUCAAGUCUCUUGUGAAAUCUAACGGCUUAACCGUUAAACUGCUUGGGAAACUGGUAAUCUAGAGUAAGGGAGAGGUAGAUGGAAUUCUUGGUGUAGGGGUAAAAUCCGUAGAGAUCAAGAAGAAUACCCAUUGCGAAGGCGAUCUACUGGAACUUAACUGACGCUAAUGCGUGAAAGCGUGGGGAGCAAACAGGAUUAGAUACCCUGGUAGUCCACGCCCUAAACGAUGUAUACUGGUUGUUGCUGUGCUAGUCAUGGCAGUAAUCCACCUACGGAUAAGCCGAUCCUUGCGGUCACAGCUUUCAGGCACCCCCAGCUUUCAUGGCUUGACGGGCGGUGUGUACAAGGCCCGGGAACGUAUUCACCGCGCCAUGGCUGAUGCGCGAUUACUAGCGAAUCCAGCUUCGUGGAGUCGGGUUGCAGACUCCAGUCCGAACUGAGGAGGAUUUUAACGGAUUAGCGUCCUGUCACCAGGUAGCAGCCCUCUGUAACCUCCAUUGUAACACGUGUGUAGCCCCGGACGUAAGGGCCGUGCUGAUUUGACGUCAUCCCCACCUUCCUCACAUCUUGCGAUGGCAGUAUCUGCGGAGUGCCCAGCAUAACCUGAUGGCAAACGCAGAAAAGGGUUGCGCUCGUUAUGGCACUUAAGCCGACACCUCACGGCACGAGCUGACGACAACCAUGCAGCACCUCUAUGGCGGUCCCGAAGGAAAUCAGGCGUCUCUGCCCAACGGCCACCACAGUUCAAGCCCGGGUAAGGUUCCUCGCGUAUCAUCGAAUUAAACCACAUGUUCCUCCGCUUGUGCGGGCCCCCGUCAAUUCCUUUGAGUUUCACCGUUGCCGGCGUACUCCCCAGGUGGGAUACUUAAUACUUUCGCUCAGCGGCAUACACUAUAUCGCAUACCACGAGUAUCCAUCGUUUACUGUGUGGACUACCAGGGUAUCUAAUCCUGUUUGAUACCCACACUUUCGAGCCUCAGCGUCAGUUGCGCCCCCGGCACCUGCCUUCGCGAUCGGAGUUCUUCGUGAUAUCUAGCAUUCACCGCUCACCACGAAUUCAGCGCCCUGUGCCACUCAGUAAA
rnacentral:rRNA from 1 species